AUAUAUAUGUUUUGGGACUACAACUCCCAUCAUCCCUAGCUAGCAAGACCAGUGGUCAGGGAUGAUGGGAAUUGUAGUCCCAAAACAUCUUUUU